ACUCAAAUGAAUAGACGGGGGACCGCACAAGCGGUGGAGCAUGUGGCUUAAUUCGAUGCAACGCGAAGAACCUUACCAGGGCUUGACAUGUAUCUGCAAGCUGCCGAAAAGCAGUCGCUUUCGAAGGUGAUACACAGGUGGUGCAUGGCUGUCGUCAGCUCGUGUUGUGAAAUGUUGGGUUAAGUCCCGCAACGAGCGCAACCCUCAUGUUAUGUUGCCAGCGAGUAAUGUCGGGAACUCAUAACAAACUGCCUCUGUAAAGAGGAGGAAGGCGGGGAUGACGUCAAGUCAUCAUGCCCCUUACGCCCUGGGCUGCACACAUGCUACAAUGGCUGAUACAAAGGGUUGCUAACCUGCGAAGGUAUGCUAAUCUCAAAAAAUCAGUCUCAGUUCGGAUCGGAGUCUGCAACUCGACUCCGUGAAGUUGGAAUCGCUAGUAACCGCCGGUCAGCAAUACGGCGGUGAAUACGUUCCCGGUCCUUGCACACACCGCCCGU
rnacentral:rRNA from 1 species